rnacentral:rRNA from 1 species
GUGGGGAAUCUUGCGCAAUGGGCGAAAGCCUGACGCAGCCAUGCCGCGUGAAUGAUGAAGGUCUUAGGAUUGCAAAAUUCUUUCACCGGGGACGAUAAUGACGGUACCCGGAGAAGAAGCUCCGGCUAACUUCGUGCCAGCAGCCGCGGUAAUACGAAGGGGGCUAGCGUUGCUCGGAAUUACUGGGCGUAAAGGGCGCGUAGGCGGACAGCUUAGUCAGAGGUGAAAGCCCAGGGCUCAACCUUGGGAUUGCCUUUGAUACUGGCUGUCUUGAGUUUGGGAGAGGUGAGUGGAACUCCGAGUGUAGAGGUGAAAUUCGUAGAUAUUCGGAAGAACACCAGUGGCGAAGGCGACUCACUGGCCCGUUACUGACGCUGAGGCGCGAAAGCGUGGGGAGCAAACAGGAUUAGAUACCCGUGUAGUCC